CUAAGAGACACCCCUAAGGAAGAAAAGUAGUAGUAGUGGCUUGGAACCAGGACCCACAAUAUCUCCAAGGAUGCCGGUAUAUCCCACUUCAUUUCAAUGACCCACUUACUGAGUUACAUUCCAUACUACAUUAUCAAUGCCUCCAAGUCAGAGACUAUGUCUUACUUUUGUUUGUAUGUCUAGUUGCUAGAAUAGUUCUGAGUGCACAGUAGGUGAUGAGGUUUAUUUUGAUGUUGAACAAAUAUGUACAACCUGCAAAGAUAUUUUUACUCAGUGCUUUAUCCAUUCAGAUUUUGCCCUCAUGAAUCAAAACUGUAGUUAUAAAUAUAAAUAAAUGUAUAAAUGCAUAUAUAUGUGUGUGCAUACAAUCAGUUGGCCCUCCAUAUCUGUGGAUUCCACAUCCUCUGAUUCAACAAACUGGAUAAAAAGUAUUUUUAAAAAUCAAUAAAAAAUACAAGCUAAUAAAAAAUACAGUAUAACAUCUAUUUACAUAGCAUUUGCAUUGUAUUAGGUAUUCUAAUUAAUCCAGAGAUGAUUUAAAUUAUGGGGGAAAAUUUAUGUAGAUUAUGUUCAAAUACUAUGCCAUUUUAUAUACACACACACAUAUACACACACACAUAUACACACACAUACACAUACAUACAGAUACACAUACAUAUAUAUUUAUAACUACCUAUAUAUUUAUUUAUGUUUAUGACUACAGUACAUCAUAUUUACAUAAAAAACUCUGGGCAGAAUAAUAACUAUGGAAACAGAAAUGGUAAGUAUAAUAAAUAGGCCAAAACACAACAAAAGGCCCCAGGAAUACAGAAGGAAUCAUCAAUCACCACGUUUCACAAAGACGAGCAAAUAUAAAGAGUCUCAAAGUACUACUUAGACUAGGUAACUUGCAACUUAAAAUUCCACCACUGAAGAUUGCUGCUUCCAGAUAGAACAUGACUACUCCCAGGAAUUAUUUGUAAAAUGUAAAUACUCUUAGGAAACAGGCUCCAUUAAGUCUCCAGAUAUCUUAACGCUAAUUAGUUAUGGAAUCUCCUUCUGCUGUAAUGGAGAAUCCUGGGAGUCGGGGUUGAGUCUAGAGAAGACAACAGAAGCAGGCUUCGCCUCCUUCAUCAUUGUAUCCAGAACUGUUUACAUCAGGGCCCUGUGCUUGCUAGAUGUUGGUAUCCUGGGCUUGGUGGGUCACACCUAUAAUCUCAGCACUUUGGGAGGCUGAGUCAGGAAGAUCAGUUGAGGCCAGGAGUUUGAGACCAGCCUGGGCAACAUAGUGAGACCCUGUCUCUACAAAAUUUUUUUAAAAAGCAAAAAGUAAAAAUAAAAAUUGAGAACCAACAAAAGAUUGUUACUUUGUUUCAGCUUUAUUGAGGCCUAACAGAAGUACACUAAAUUGCAUCUACUUAACAUGCACCAUGCGAUGGGUUUAUUUUUAAUUUAAUUUUAAGUCCCAGGAUACAUGUACAGGAAAUGCAGGUUUGUCACAAAGGUAGACGUGUGCCAUGGUUGUUUGCUGCAUCUAUCUACUCAUCACCUAGGUAUUAAGCCCUACAUACGUUAGCUAUUUAUCCUGAUGCUCUUCCUCACCGCAACCCCCAACAGGCCCCAGUGUGUGUUGUUACCCUCCCUGUGUCCAUGAAAUAUGCAUACACCUGUGAAAGCAUCACCACAAUCAAGACAUUUUUACCCCCCCAAAAAUUUCCUUGUGCCCCUUUAUAAUCCAUCCUUCCCUCCGCCUUAGCCUGUGCAACUAUUGAUCUGAUUUUUGUCACUCUAGAUGAAUUUGCACUUUCUCAAAUUUUAUGUAAAUGGAAUCACAGAGUAUGUGCUCUUUUUGGCAAAGCUUCUUUCACCCAUCAUAAGAAUUUUGAGAUGUAUCCAUGUUGUUGUGUGUGGCAACAAACUUUUUACUUCACUAAAGUGAUGAUAUCUUUUAAACCAUUCUUUCUACUAUCAUAAUCAUUUUGUAAAAGAGAAGGCCUUUUAACCAUCAAAAAAGAGAGGAUGUGUCCUCCAAGUAAGAACAGUUGUUCUCCAGAAUGAGAAAUUGGCAAUGUCAUGCUGACAAAGAGGGGGAGUCCCUAGGUAAAAUAGUAUAAACCUCAUCACCCAAGGCCAGUCCUUCUCCUGGCCAUGAGAGGGGAAGCGCUGCCCCUCACAAAGCCUUAUAUGCCUCAUUCAGGGAGGGAGAAAAGCAGUCCCUCUUGAGACCUGUUUCCAUGGUAACCAGUGAGCAAUUGACAAUGUGGCUGCAGUUGGGCCUCCUUGAAGGGGAAAAAUCUUCAACAGGAACCAGGCCACUGAGAGAUGGAAGAAAGGACAGCUCAUACCCAAACCUCACGAGGAGGCUACAGGAAUCACUGGACAGUUCCUUUAUUGGGAAAGCCCCCAGUGACUUUCCAAUGAAAUGGAUAGAGAAGGGAAAAGAGACCCUUCGGAAUCAGAUGAGUCCAUGAACUGGCAGCAGUCAGGGCAGUGAUGACAUCACAGAAGGAGGAUGGGCCUUAGACAGACAUCACUCUUUAGAAUCCCUGCAACUUUGAGCAAGUUCGUGAAUCUCACUAAGGCUCAGUUUCCUCCAUAAAAUUAAUCAAUAUCAGGGCCUCUGCAUUGGACAACUCCAGAGGGCACCAUUGGGGUUAUACCUUGUGUUUGCCUAACCUUCAUUGCAGUGGGCAGGUGCAUGCUUUCUACAAUGUCCUAAGGUCUAAAGGGGUAGAGUUCUGUGUGUGGCAUUUUAGGCCUGGAAAGGAUGAGAGUCUACAAAACCAGAGAAAUACUGCAGGUGAGUGAGGGGCUAAGAUCCAGAUGCCCCCUGCCACAUUGAUCCUCUCCAAGACAGGAGGCCCCAGAUCCCCAGAUCUGAAGCCCUUUUUAAGAGCAAGAGUAUCAGCUGAUGAAUUUCAUGCAUUGCACACCGUGACUCCCAAGAUGGUCUGUCAGAUCUCCAGGUUCUGGAGGUUGGAGGUUCCGCUCAGUGACAGCCUGGCGGUACAGCAUACCCAGGUUCAAAUCCCAGAUCUACCACUUAAUAACUAGGUAAUCUUGGAUGGAUUACUUAACCUUCUUAAGCCUCAUUUACCUCGUGAUAAUUUAUUUUAUAGAGUUGCUGAAAGAAUCAAUGUGAAAAUGUACAUAAAGUGUUUAGCAAAUACAGUAGUGCUCAAUAAAUGUCAGCUUUGUUGUAACUCUUCAGAUUUUCCCUGGGCAAAGUAAAAGCUUUCUUGGAGCCUUUCUCUUAAUCAGUCCUGCCUCAAACAUCCCUUCUGCUGAAACAAGCUGUGAUUAAUCCACUGUAGACCCGACACUCCACUAAAUGGGGCACAGUGCAGAGGUCCGUAAUGAGGAUCUUUUUAAAAGUAAAGCAUAUACAUCAGUCUCAACACUUAUAAACAUCAGAAUUACUUGGAAAGGAGGUUUACAAAAAUGCAAAUGACAUUUUGGAAAGCCUAAUUCAGUAGGUUAGUUUAGAGCUGUGAUAUUGUGAUUUAUAAUAAAUAUAUAUUUGCUCUUGGUCUCUAUUCCUGGCACAGAGCUCCUAAAGUCCUUGGAAUGUCCUAAGUGGUGAGUUUAUGCUAAAGAGGUAACUUUUGGAAAACCUCUAAGGAUGGGGGGCUGGUUGCCAGGGGAGCCAACCAUGUGAUUAGAAGGUUGGAACUUUCACCACCCACCACCCUGACCUCCAGGGAAGGGAAAGUGGCUGGAAGUUGACUUAAUUUGCAAUGGGCAAUGAUUUCAUCAAUCACGUCUAUGUAAUGAAGCCUCCACAAGAAAAAAAUCUUAACAGAAGACCUUCAGAGAGCUUCCAGGUUGCUGACCACAUGGAGGUCAUGCCCAGAGAGGGUGUGAAAGCUCCACACCCCUUUUCCAUACCUUGCCCUACUUAUCUCUUCCAUCUGGCUGUUUCUAAGUUGCAUCCUUUAUAUUAAAGCAAUAAUGUUGUAAAUGAACUUUCUCUGAGUUCUGUGACCCAUUCUAGCAAAUGGUCAAACCCAGGAGGGAAUGGUAUGAACCUCUGGUUUACAGCCAUUGGUAAGAAGCACACAUGACAACCUGGACUUUCCAUCAACAUUUGAAGCGGGAGCAGUCUUGUGGGAUCAAGCUCUUAACCUGUGGGGUCUGCUACUAACUCUGGUAAGUGUCAGAAUUGAAUUGAAUCAUAGAAAACCCAGUUGGUGUCCAUAGCAAAUUGGUGUGGACCCUACACGUUUGAUCACAGAGGUAUUCUGUGUUGAGUGUGCAUAUAGACAGAAGAAAAGUUUGUUCUUCCCUAUUCAAAGGCAGAGUUAUUUAUCUGUGUUGUUUUGUUUUUAAAGAUUCCCUGGGUGAUCCUAGUGUGUAGCCAAGAUUGAAUAUUAUUGACCUAGAGCAGAGUUGGCAAACUUUUCAUUUAAAGGGCCAGUUAGUAAAUAUUUUAGGCUUUGCAGACCACCUACAUAUUUUGCCACAUAUUCUUUGUUUGUUUAAAAAUGUAAAAAUAAUUCUUAGAUUGCAGGCUGUACAAAAAUAGGCCAUACCCAGAUUUGGCCCACAGGUCACAUUGCUUAUUGAUUCCUGGUCUAGAGACCAUAGCCCUGGAGGUUCCAUGAUCUAAUAUAUUUUUUGGUUUCAUCUAGAAUCCAAUGAACACAUGGACCCAACACUCCUUUGGCCAAGUUGAUGAUUCUCCACCAUUUAUUUGCCUGCCUCACUAUACACUUCUAGCAAGCCACUGCAAGGCUGCAUUGCAGCUAAGAGGAAGCCCUCCUUGAAGGCUGCACAGCAAGGAGUGUUGGCAGAGUAGCUGGGUUUCCACUGGGAGAGCACGAGUCAGCAUCAUGCUGGGCUCAAGCAUGGAUAUGCACUGCUGCUGCCAGAGCAUCAUAAUUUGCAAGCAUUUAUCGAGUACCCUUCAUCUAAUUUUCAUCCUGCGGAAACUAGAAAUUGCUACACUUGCACACAAUAAACUUCUGGCAGUUAGCCUUCUAAACUGGGACACUACCAUUUGGGAGGGAAAAGACCUUUCUGGUGGUUAAAGAUGGGGCUUCCAGUUACUGCAUUUGUUUUAAUACAGUCUAUUCCAUAGAGCCAUCGAUGGAGACUCAUUAUAUAACCUUUCGUGGAAAGCUUCUGACUUCUUUCUCAAUGCACAGGUGGGAUGUAAAGGGACAUCCCCAUCAUAAGGCACUUGCCCCAGGCUAGGAACUUAAUUCUCCCACUGUCGACAUGUGGCUCUUUAGAUUUCAUGCUGUAAGUCUCCAGAGGUUUCUCAGGUCUUGCCCUGCAGAAGCAGAAGUCAUGGGAAGGAGCUGUCGCGUAGUUCUUUUUUUUUGGAGCUUGGGUGCUGAAGAUCAGUUCCUCCAACUUUUUGGUUUUUUAAUGUUUCACUCCAACUGCAAAUUUCACCCCAUUUCUAGUGUACUCUCCUUGAGAGAAGUGGAGUUUCAGAUGGGAGCAACUUCACUUGAAGCCCAUAUUAAAUAUGGGAAACACAUUUUCUGCAUCAUAAGAUGGGGACAUUUUUAUGAUACCAGUACUCUUAGGAAGUGGACUGUUCAGAAAAAUGAUUUGGAUUGAAGAGGGCACACAUAUAGGUGGAAGAGUUGGUUGUGAAACAAGGGGAAGAAUUAACUGGUUUCUCCACUGAAGGAGGGAGGAAAAAAAUAAAAGGAAAGAAUAUGGGUAUAUCCAGCAAGACAGACAAAUGUAUGCUCUCCAAGCACUCUCUCUCUCACCUAUCCCAGUUCUUUCAUGUUACAAAAUUCACAAAAUGGCUGUGUGUACAUGAAUUUUGGUGGAAACAGUGAAGAAACUGAGCUUCAUGCUGACAUUGACACAGAGUAGGACAGCUCUAAGGUAGCCUAUGUGAAUGAGCAAUGGAGAAAGAGGGAAAAACAUAAGGAGUUAACCCCAAAAAAUUGGCCAUGGGUGGUGGCUCAUGCCUGUAAUCCCAGCACUUUGGGAGGCCAAGGAGGGUGAAUCACUUGAGGUCAGGACUUCAAAACCAGCCUGGCUAACAUGGUAAAACUCCUGUCUCUACUAAAAUACAAAGAUUAGCUGGGCAUGGUGAUGGGUGCCUGUAAUCCCAGCUACUAGGGAGGCUGGGGAAGGAGAAUUGCUUGAACCCAAGAAGCGGAAGUUGCAGUGAGCCAAGAUCGCGCCACUGCACUCCAGCUUGGAUGACAGAGUGAGACUCCAUCUCAAACAAACAAACAAACAAACAAAAAACCUCCCCCAAAUUAUGGAGAGGGCUCCAGACUUUCUCAAGAUUGUGCAGUUAGCUGUUGUUUAAAGUUAACUAAAUCCCGAUCUGAUGUUUAUUCUCUUAUUUUUAGCUAUUGUUUAAAGUUAACUAAAUCCCGAUCUGAUGUUUAUUCUCUUAUUUUUAUUUUUAAUUUAAUAAGUGCUUCACGUGACUUUUGAGUUAUAGCUGACUGCCCUAGCUCACAUUUUAGUGCCAGAGUAAGUAUCAAAUGGUAGAUUUAUUUCUCUUUUUUAUAAAAGAAAAUCAAUAACCAGUUUGCAAUGCCUUUGGUAGAAAUUCAAUGACUAACAUAAGGUUUUACUUUAUCAAGAAGCUGGGAUAUUGUCAACAGCUAUCCAAGUAACUGAUUCAAAAUCCAAUUGUGAAAACAUUUACUGGGCACUCUCUGCAUGCAAAGCAGUGAGAAGGUGCUGGGAAGAUUAAGAAAAAUCAGGUGCAGUCUCCCUCCUUAGGAGAAAUGGCACAAAAUAGCAUGGUCAUGGAACCAGAGCAGUGAUUCUGACAUGCAUUUCAGAGACAAACAUGGUGGAGGCCAUGUGACUUAAUCAGCAGGAUGGAACUAAAAUAGGGCUGCCUAGGAUUAUACAAACUAUGCUGUUGCUGCUGGAGAUUCCCAAACUGUGGCCUACCAAUGUCAUGGCAGGUGGGGGAUAAGUGGACGAUGAAUCCCUUCAGUGCACCAUUCAAGGGCUUUCAGCCUGAAAUAAGCUAAUACUAUGAGCAGAAUGCCCAGGAAGGGUUUAUGAAGGGUAUACCAUACUCCCAAGAUCAAAAUCACCUCUUGAGGAAUCCCUCCCAAAGGACUCACAGUCAUCUUCCAAAAGGCUUUUAGAAAAAACUAAAGGAUAUGUUUUUCCAAGAGCCUGAUGUCUUAGUGGUCUGGAAGACAUCCUGGGAAUUGUCUGGAAAGGAGGCAUUGGACCUCUAGCUGUGAUGAGAUAUAGGAAUAAGGAGUGGUGGGCUAAGUGUGCAUCUAGUAUGCAAAAUAGAGAGAACAGUAAGUGUGAUGAGAAUAAGAAGGUAGUUGCCCAAAAGCAAAUUUAAUUCUCUCCUACUCCUACUGGAGAGAAGAACAAGGGAUUUGGAGGAAACACAGCAAUGCAGCAUCCACAGGCACAUAGUAUAUGCUCAAUAAAUAUUUUUUUUCAAAUAAUAUACAAAUAUAGAAAUAAGGUCUACAAACAUCACUUGAGAAGCACAGGAUGUGAUUCACUCUUCAGAGCCAAAUUUUAUUUGUGGUAUCACUUUAAAAGGCAGCAGCAGUAGUGCUACUGAGACCAUUUCCGCUGGGAGAGAAGUUCUGAGGACUCUGAAAACUUAUAGGAAGAGGCAGGCAAGACCAGAGAUAGUGAUAAGUAAAGUGAUUAACUGAGGAGCUGUGUGGGGGGAAAAGGAUGUCUCAACUUAGCCAAGGUUCAGAGAUAACAGAAGCUUUUCACCAAAUGAAAGGUGACUGAGUGACCAACUGUCACUGACUUCAGGAAUAACUUGCAGACAGAACAGGUAGACUCAGACAGCAUUCUCAGGUGAAGACCUCAAGGGAAUUCAGCUAGUUGAGGCAGCCCCAAAACCUGGUGGGAAUCCAGCUCAUUUCUGGGAAACCUGAACAAGAACGGAUUCAUAGAUCUCAAAAUUGUACAAAGAGAAAUUUACCAAUAAACACAGGAAAAAAUAAAAUUUCCUGGAAAUAUCAGCUACCAACAAAUAUAUUUUCAGGUGUGCUUCAGGAUUAAGGUUUAUAAAAGUGUGUUAAGAAAUGAAAAUAUUGUUUGUGUGGGUGGUGGUUGUGUUCCUGGGGCAAAAAAAAGAGAGAGAGAGAGAGAAUUGCAACUCCAACUCUUCUUUUUAUAUAUGAGAAAACUGAAACUUGGAAUGAUAAAGUGACUCACUCAAAGUCUCCACACCUACUUGGUAGCAAGUCUUUAUUCAUAGCUGCAUAUAAUAUAUCACCACCUGACAUAUUAUAUAUUCUUCUAUUUGAAUAUUCUUUCCAUUAAAAUGGGACUUUAUUUGCUCACAAUAAUAUUCCCAGAAGCUAGAACAGUGCCCGGCACUAAGGAAAUACUCAGUAAACAUGUGCUGAAUGAGACAAUGAUUUAAAUCUUUAGACUCAUAUUCCAAUGCCAUUUAGAUUACACCAUCCUGUGAGUUUGUGUCCUUUGCAGGGACAUGGAUGAAGCUGGAAACCAUCAUUCUCAGCAAACUAACACAAGAACAGGAAACCAAACACCACAUAUUCUCACUCAUAAGUGGGAGUUGAACAAUGAGGACACAUGGACACAAGGAAGGGAAUAUCACAACACGGGGCCUGUCAGGGGGUUGGGGGCUAGGAGAAGGACAGCAUUAGGAGAAAUACCUAAUGUAGAUAACGGGUUGAUGG
rnacentral:lncRNA from 10 species